AGUGACCACAGAGCAUUAGCACCCAAGCAGGACCUGCUGAACCUGGGGCCCUAUAGGAGAGCACUGAUGGCCCACCCCUGAUUGUGGCCCUGGUCUUCAUGUCUGCAUCAGCCUCAGCCAUCUCAAGACCACAACAGGAACAUAGCCAAGUCAGAGAAGGAAGACCAAAAGCACCAGGGCCCUUCAUAUUAUUAAGCUGCUAAAUUAACUAAUCUUGGAAACUUCUAGACUCUACAAUUCUUGUUGUAUGAGGUUUAACAAGUUCAAGAGAGAAGAUAUUGGCCAAAUACAACACAGAGGCUAAACACAACACCUAUGUUGAUUGUUUGGUGCAUAAGAAUUGAGAUGAUGGAAAGAGGUCACUGUGAGCUUCAGGAAUAGCUUGAGGCUAACUGAUAAAACAGAGUGGAUUGACAAUUAUUCUCUGGACUUUUUGGUAACCAAGAACUUCUAGCAACUAACCCUGGCAUGACCACCAGAAUCUGCAGGGCUGAGAGAAGAAAGAAAGGCAAAAGUGGAUGAAUGCAGCUGAAGAUGCUGUGGAACUCCUAUCACAUUCCAAGUGCUGUGUUGAUAUCUGGAGAUAUAGACAAGAUCGAAGCAGAUGCAGUCUUUCACAUGAAUAUUUGAAUCAGGCAGAUGCAGGUGAUGGGUAUUGGCCUCAGCUUUAGAGACCAGAGGUUAAAUCUCAGUGCUGCCUGCCACAAAACGAUCCAUGUAAGUCAAUAAACAAUGCUUUUUAAAAUAUUAUUAUAAAGA
ensembl:lncRNA LINC02612 long intergenic non-protein coding RNA 2612